rnacentral:rRNA from 1 species
CCCGUCACAUCAUGAAAGCCGCUUGUACCCGAAGUCGCUGUGCCAACUCGCAAGAGGGGCAGGUGCCGAAGGUAUGGGUGGUGAUUGGGAUG